GUUCCAAGUAAUUCUGUUGGAGCCUAUUGUAAAGUUAACAUCUGACGACAGCAGCUGAAACAGAAUCAUGAAUAACGAGUCAGAAGGAUGUUUGUGUAGUGCAAACCUUGUUAAUAUUGGAGUGUUGGGUGAUAAUAGCUGUAUUAUCCAAUAAAUAUAUUGUUUGUAAUCUGUAAAAGACUUGGUGUCUGAUUCUUAAUUACCUUUGUGAUUGGUUUAUGUAUUGUGGAUUAUAAAUCCAAAUAAUAUUGCUAAUACAUUAGUUUAAAUUUU